rnacentral:lncRNA from 1 species
AACAUGUCUUAGAAAAAUUUGCCAAAAGUGACCAACUUUAAGCCCUUAUGUUUCAAUUAUUCAUGCCUAAAAUGGAAAAACCUUCAACAUAAAGGUUGUACAUCUUUUCAUGCAGAUAAAUUUGGACUUAAAAUUGGAAUCAUUUGGAUUUUUCAUGAGAAAGUUAUGGGCACUUGAAGUUGGACAUUUUCAAGAUUCAAUGAUUUUGGUACAAAGUGACCUAUAAUGUUUUGUAUUAUCACAUGUGUUUCUUUUAGUAUUAUGAAAU